rnacentral:rRNA from 1 species
GGAUGAACGCUAGCGGCAGGCCUAACACAUGCAAGUCGAGGGGUAACAGGGAGCUUGCUCCGCUGACGACCGGCGCACGGGUGCGCACCGCGUAUGGAACCUACCUUUUACAGGGGAAUAGCCCAGGGAAACUUGGAUUAAUGCCCCGUGGUACCACGACCUGGCAUCAGGAUGUGGUUAAAGCCUUCGGGCGGUAGAAGAUGGCCAUGCGUCCCAUUAGUUUGUUGGUAAGGUAACGGCUUACCAAGACUACGAUGGGUAGGGGCCCUGAGAGGGGGAUCCCCCACACUGGUACUGAGACACGGACCAGACUCCUACGGGAGGCAGCAGUGAGGAAUAUUGGACAAUGGAGGAGACUCUGAUCCAGCCAUGCCGCGUGCAGGAAGAAUGCCCUAUGGGUAGUAAACUGCUUUUAUACAGGAAGAAAAAAGGGUACGUGUACCCUACUGACGGUACUGUAAGAAUAAGGACCGGCUAACUCCGUGCCAGCAGCCGCGGUAAUACGGAGGGUCCGAGCGUUAUCCGGAAUUAUUGGGUUUAAAGGGUCCGUAGGCGGGCGAUUAAGUCAGUGGUGAAAGUCUGUAGCUCAACUAUAGAAUUGCCUUUGAUACUGAUCGUCUUGAGUUAUAGUGAAGUUGCCGGAAUAUGUAGUGUAGCGGUGAAAUGCAUAGAUAUUACAUAGAACACCGAUUGCGAAGGCAGGUGACUAACUAUAUACUGACGCUGAUGGACGAAAGCGUGGGGAGCGAACAGGAUUAGAUACCCUGGUAGUCCACGCCGUAAACGAUGGAUACUAGCUGUCCGGAACCUUGAGUUCUGGGCGGCCAAGCGAAAGUGAUAAGUAUCCC